ensembl:lncRNA
CACAGAAAAAGUUACGUGGUACGUUAGCUGUGCGCAGCACAUGACUUGUAAAAAUGAUGCGUAUUUUGCGCGGAAUGCUUUCGGCGGCGUUCCAUGUAUAUUAUACUUUCUUUACUUUUCUCCAACUCAAAACAAACAACUUCUCAUGAAUACAGACUUACAUGUCACUGGAAUGAUCAAUUCCUUCGAUAAGAUCGGCUUCAUCCGCGCUGGUGGCAGAAUCCGGGCCAGACGAGUGGCUGGACUCUUCAUCCGACGCUGUAGUUUGCUGGAGAGCUUCACGCCAGAUGUAAAAUAGUUUGGCACGACCAGGUUUUUGCGGCUCCUCAACUAAUGUGUGGAAGUGUGUCAAAGGUGGAAGCUGAAUUAGUGAGGAUGACUCCUGCUCCUGUCAUCUCUAAGCUCCUCACACAUCUUUACCUGCACAUGAGAAAAAUCACUCAUGUAGAAUGCAGAUGUUCAGAGGGAGAUGAUGCCACAUCUGGUCCAGCUGAUGGAAGGUCUUGAAGUUCUCUGACUGGCCUCGACUGAAGAUGGUCGUCUCACUGGAUUUAAGGUUCAGAUACUCAGUAACAAACUCCACCAAUGAGCCAACAGGGAAGCUUUAGGUUUAUUAAAUGUUGCUAUGAAGGUAUCACUGUUUUUCUUUGUGAAUGCAAUGUGCUCCAACUGAAACUUGAAUUAGAACUUAGAAGUAAAUCUUUCCAUCUGAAAGGAUUUAGUUGCAUUAAUAACCUCACAACAUUCAAAUUUUUAUUCCAGUCUUGGCUGGAAAUAGAAUCUCUGUAUUGAUUCAGGUAAAAACUGAACUUCACAGCAUGUUGGAGCAAAACAACCAGAUGAAAACUGUGAUGGUGUUGGAUUGUCAGACCGUAAUGUUGCAGCUCAAAGCAGCUUUUCUAUCUCAGUUCAUUCUGACAUUCAGCUAUGAAUCAACACAGCAGAUGGUGAUCCAUGCUGUGGAAGUCUCACAUCUCCUGAUUUAAUGGAGCUGCUUUUCACUUUUUACACUGUUUAUUCACCAACACUUUAUUUAAUAAAAGUCCCAUCUAGUUUUCAUGAGGAAUGUGAUGUUUUAAUUUCUCUGAAUAACUGCAGUCUAAUGCAACAGCUGGAGUUGUAACAUCUGUCCUGAUAUUGAUCAUGAAGUAUUGAUCAGAAUACUUAUAGUUAGCAGUCAUCCCUGAAGUUUUACAUUAAAAUCUUUACUUGUGUUGUGAACUUUGGUAAGAAGCAGAAACGUUAGUGUUGCCAUGGAUACAUGAGUGUUAAAUUCUUUCCAUGUUUCCAUUUUGGGAAAUGCAGUCCAGUUCCAGAAUGUUGAGGAAUUUAGUCUCACAAUCACAGACAACAAAUAUUAUCUGAAAGUCGGGUUAUUGUUGUUUAUCAGCACAAUACAAAAUGAUUGAUGUUAGAAAUAUUCCAGUUAAGACUCUAGAAUAUCAUGAUUUAUGUAAAUUUACCUCAAUAAUAUGAAUGUUCAGGUUAAGAUUGUACAGUGAUAUUUAUUAUGCAAGUUUAGCUGAUUAAAGUUUAUGACUCUGCACUAAAAUAUUAUUUAAAUUGACAUCAUUAUUAUAAUAUUUAGGGUCAGACCCUACAGUAUUGAGAUUAAGAAAUCAAAUAUUCUAUAAAAUGUAAAUACACUGAACUCAUUGGGAUAUAUUUAAGUGAGACUCUACAAUAUUAUUUGACACAAAUCUAUCUAAAUCAAAAUUGUAAUAAUUUUCACACCAAACAUUUACUGGACUGAUUUAAACAUUAAAAUCACUCCUUUCUAAUCCUCUGCUGUACGUUCAAACCUGAGGCCUGAAAUAGAAACACACAAGUAUCUGUUUGAAGGAACUUCUGCAGAGUCCUGGUUCCAGAACAUGAUGAUAGAAUUAUAGACAAACUUUAACAAAAGCUGCCUGAGAGUUUACAGGUUUUUAUGUUAGAUUUCUUCAGUAAUUUAAUGAGCGUUAUCAGCAAAAAUCAAGUGUUCAUUUGAUGAACUUCAUUUCCUAAAACAUCCAGAAUUGGUACUCAUAUCUUUGGCAGCUGUAAAGUUUCUGCUCCAAAGUUCACAACACAAUGAAUUAAUUCCUAAAACACUAUCAGUGCUGGAGAGCGUUUGUGAUGCUGAAGCAGUGACCAGUUUUUCUGUUUCUUCUCUGGAGAUGCACAAUGAGGGACGUCUGCAGAGACUGAGAAAGAGUCUCACCACAUCCUGACAUGAGGAAAAAGACUUUAUUGAAGACUACAAUGAGAAAAACUAUCAGACAGCAGACGGCUGCAUUCAAGAGAGGAAGACCAUCAAACAUCCAUGUCAGCUGAUGGAGGUCCAAGAGUCUCACCAAACAAACAACCUACAGAGUGAAGACCUCAAAUCUGAUUGGACGGCCUCCUAUUCAGCCACGUGUGAACAAAUGCCUCUAAGUUGAUUUGUUUUCUAAAAUAAAUCUAGUUUGAGUCCUAA